GAGACGGAGUCUUGCUCUGUUGCCCAGGCUGGAGUGCAAUGGCAUGAUCUCGGCUCACUGCAAGCUCCACCUCCCAGGUUCACGCCAUUCUCCUGCCUCAGCCACCUGAGUAGCUGCGACUACAGGUGCCCGCCACCAUGCCCGGCUAAUUUUUUGUAUUUUUAUAGAGACAGGGUUUCACCGUGUUAGCCAGGUUGGUCUCGAUUUCCUGACCUCGUGAUCCGCCCGCGUCGGCCUCCCAAAGUGCUAGGAUUACAGGUGUGAGCCACAGCGGCCAGCCAAAACAAUUUAAAAUGAAAAAACUUGGGCUUAUGCUGAAGGGAAGUUCAGAUCAAUUAUAAAUAUUUAUUAACCAAUUACCAUAUGGAAUUAAUUACCAUAUUAAUCAAUUACCAAGGCAAAGCAUUAUGGAGGAUAUAAGGAGUCCUAAGACAACCUAUGCCCUAGGUAAAUUUAAAACAUAAUUAAGGAGGCAAAAUAUAAACAUAUAAAAAGAAAACUAUCAAGAGACAGCAGUAUAAGUAUGAGACACGGAAAGAAUGAGAACACUCCAAUGUGGCCCUUGCCACAGUGCCCUGCACCCCCACCCAGCUGUUCUUCUCCACUCUCUCUUGCAUAUGACUUAGCUCCUAAGUAUUCCUAUUGUUCUUAGUAAAAUCCAAAUUGCAGGCCGGGCAUCGUGGCUCACGCCUGUAAUCCCAGCACUUUGGGAGGCCAAGGUGGGUGGAUCACCUGAGGUCGGGAGUUCGAGACCAGCCCGACCAACAUGGAGAAACCCUGUCUCUACUAAAAAUACAAAAUUAGCCGGGUGUGGUGGCAUGCACCUGUAAUCGCAGCUACUCGGGAGGCUGAGGAGGAGAAUCGCUUGAACCUGGGAGAUGGAGGUUGUAGUGAGCCGAGAUCGCACCAUUGCACUCCAGCCUGGGCAACAAGAGUGAAACUCCAUCUCGAAAAAAAAAAACUCCAAAUUGCCCAAACAGUGGCUGCUACUCUGCAAGAACAAUUCUUCCCUCUCUGAGAUAAGAAUCAUCCUUAAUCAAUUGUUUCUGAAACCAGCUGAACUCCAGCUGAGCACCCUUGUUAAAGCCCUGUACGACAUUUCACCCUCCUUCCCCAAGUUAAAAGGCUCUUUCAGAGACUUCUUAUGCCUGGCAUUUCUGAAAAGGGACUUCUGCAAAC
rnacentral:lncRNA from 1 species